CCAAUAGCGUAUAUUAAAGUUGUUGCAGUUAAAAAGCUCGUAGUUGAAUUUCGGGAUCAAAUUGUCGGUCGUGCCUCGGUACGUACUGGUAUUAUUGGUUCCUCCCUUCUGACGAACCACGAUGUCAUUAAUUUGGUGUCAUGGGAAAUCAGGACUGUUACUUUGAAAAAAUUAGAGUGUUUAAAGCAGGCUCGCGCUUGAAUACAUUAGCAUGGAAUAAUGAAAUAGGACGUUUGAUUCUAUUUUGUUGGUUUCUAGGAUCGACGUAAUGAUUAAUAGGGAUAGUUGGGGGCAUUAGUAUUCAAUUGUCAGGGGUGAAAUUCUUGGAUUUAUGGAAGACUAACUACUGCGAAAGCAUUUGCCAAGGAUGUCUUCAUUAAUCAAGAACGAAAGUUAGGGGAUCGAAGACGAUCAGAUACCGUCGUAGUCUUAACCAUAAACUAUGCCGACUAGGGAUCGGAUGAUGUUAAUUUUUUAAUGACUCAUUCGGCGCCUUACG
rnacentral:rRNA from 1 species